CUGCAAUACCAGCACCGGCCAGUAGGGGUCACUGUGUGUGGAGAGAGGCAGGGAUAGGAAGUUACAGCAUAUCCCUGCCUCUCUCUGCUACUCACUGAUCCGUGGGGGAGCAGCAACACAGCACAGAGAGUACAUACAGCAGCUCUACAGCUCAGGUAAGUGAGGGAUGGGGGGAAAGGCAGCAGGGACACAUGGGGACACUGAGACACUAGGGGACAUAUGGGGACACUGAGGUACUAGGGGACACAGACACUAGGACACAUGGUGACACAGACACUGGGAGACACUUGGGGACACUGAGACACAUGGGGACACUGUGAGACAUAGGGACAUUGGGAGACACUGAGACAUUGGGACACUGAGACACUAUGUCCCCAAG